rnacentral:rRNA from 1 species
UACGUAGGGGGCAAGCGUUGUCCGGAUUUAUUGGGCGUAAAGAGCGUGUAGGCGGCCAAGCAGGUCCGCUGUGAAAACUCGAGGCUCAACCUCGAGAGGUCGGUGGAAACCGUUUGGCUAGAGUCCGGAAGAGGAGAGUGGAAUUCCCGGUGUAGCGGUGAAAUGCGCAGAUAUCGGGAAGAACACCCGUGGCGAAGGCGGCUCUCUGGGACGGUACUGACGCUGAGACGCGAAAGCGUGGGGAGCGAACAGG